CGCUGGCGGCAGGCCUAACACAUGCAAGUCGAACGGUAACAGGAAGCAGCUUGCUGCUUCGCUGACGAGUGGCGGACGGGUGAGUAAUGUCUGGGAAACUGCCUGAUGGAGGGGGAUAACUACUGGAAACGGUGGCUAAUACCGCAUAACGUCGCAAGACCAAAGAGGGGGACCUUCGGGCCUCUUGCCAUCAGAUGUGCCCAGAUGGGAUUAGCUUGUUGGUGAGGUAACGGCUCACCAAGGCGACGAUCCCUAGCUGGUCUGAGAGGAUGACCAGCCACACUGGAACUGAGACACGGUCCAGACUCCUACGGGAGGCAGCAGUGGGGAAUAUUGCACAAUGGGCGCAAGCCUGAUGCAGCCAUGCCGCGUGUAUGAAGAAGGCCUUCGGGUUGUAAAGUACUUUCAGCGGGGAGGAAGGUGUUGUGGUUAAUAACCGCAGCAAUUGACGUUACCCGCAGAAGAAGCACCGGCUAACUCCGUGCCAGCCGCCGCGGUAAU
rnacentral:rRNA from 1 species